UACGUAGGGUGCGAGCGUUAAUCGGAAUUACUGGGCGUAAAGCGUGCGCAGGCGGUUUUGUAAGCCAGAUGUGAAAGCCCCGGGCUUAACCUGGGAAUGGCGUUUGGGACUGCAAGGCUUGAGUGCGGCAGAGGAGACUGGAAUUCCUGGUGUAGCAGUGAAAUGCGUAGAUAUCAGGAGGAAUACCGAUGGCGAAGGCAGGUCUCUGGGAUAACACUGACGCUCAUGCACGAAAGCGUGGGGAGCAAACAGG
rnacentral:rRNA from 1 species